AGUGAAAGAGAAAGAAAGAGAUAAAGAGAAAGAGAGAGAUAAAGAGAGAGAAAGAGAGAAAGUGAAAGAGAAAGAAAGAGAUAGAAAGAAAGAGAUAAAGGGAAAGAAAGAGAAAGAAAGAGAUAAAGUGAAAGAGAAAGAAAGAGAUAAAGAGAAAGAAAGAGAUAAAGUGAAAGAGAAAGAAAGAGAUAAAGUGAAAGAGAAAGAGAGAGAUAAAGAGAAAGAAAGAGAUAAAGAGAAAGAGAGAAAGAAAGAGAGAAAGUGAAAGAGAAAGAAAGAGAUAGAAAGAGAUAAAGGGAAAGAAAGAGAAAGCGAAAGAGAAAGAAAGAGAUAAAGAAUGAAAACUACAGCAAAAUAAAUAAAAUAGAGUAAACAAUUAAAGAGAAAAAGCAAAAGAAAAAAGAGAGCGAAUGAAAAAGUAGCAGCAAAAGAGAAAAAUAAUGAAGAGGAAAAGGAAAGAGAGAAUAAAAGAAAAUUAGAAAGAGAGAGAGAGAAAGAGAAAAAAACAAAA